UACGUAGGGGGCUAGCGUUGUCCGGAUUUAUUGGGCGUAAAGAGCGUGUAGGCGGCCAUGUAGGUCCGGUGUGAAAACUCGAGGCUUAACCUCGAGAUGUCAUCGGAAACCAUUUGGCUAGAGUCCGGAAGAGGAGAGUGGAAUUCCUGGUGUAGCGGUGAAAUGCGCAGAUAUCAGGAAGAACACCGAUGGCGAAGGCAGCUCUCUGGGACGGUACUGACGCUGAGGCGCGAAAGCGUGGGGAUCAAACAGG
rnacentral:rRNA from 1 species